rnacentral:misc_RNA from 1 species
AAUUACUCACAGCUUUUAAUCACAGAGAGCAUAUAGUGGCAAUGUACCUAAGCUAAUUUUUGAUAUAAUAUCCAUACUUUGAUAAAUUCUAAUAAUGAAUUUGACUUAUUAAAUUCCAAAUGAUGACUAACUUUUCAAUAUCUCCUUAUCAAAUCAACAUCACUCACUCAUAAAAAUUCGAAUAUAAAAUUUUCUUCUCCCACAUUGGCAUUAUUGUCUCCAGAUAAAUUAAUUGGUUGAGGAGCUGGCGAUUCCUGGUUUGUGUUGUUAACAGAACUUGUAUUAGAGUAAGCUGGUGAUGCUAUUGAUAUACUCGUGUGGAGUGGAUCAUAUGAUGUAGAAUCGAGCAGUCGGAGUUCGAUAUUUGAAAACAAUUUGGCCAUUUCCAGUUUAACAAUGGCUUGUUCUCUGGGCGGAAAUUUCUUGAAUGUAUCGGCAUAGCUAAGGAAUAAAUUGUCAGUUACGUCGAGUUCCUUCUUAUUUUUAUUAGAAUUUAGAAAUUGUAUCACUCUCCCUACAUCAUCAUCACUUCCUGGAUGUCCUCUUGAUCGUUUAGCUUUUCCAGAUGAAAUGCUUGAUGGUGGCGGGGGUGCCUGUGAUGAUGACGCGGUGGCUUGCGAUGUUGAUGAGGUAGCUUGCUGGCUGGGCUGGGAAAUCUGCGAUGGAGGUACUUAACAACCGGUGAUUCUUAUCAAACAAUUGCAUUUUCUUUUCGGGUUGGACAUAGUACAGUCAGCAAUAUUGUGAAGAAUGUCUGCGUAGAAAUAUGGAUUUUAUUGCAACCAACGUAUAUGCCAGCACCUUCAGAGGAAACAUGGAGGCAAUCAGAAUUUGGAUACAGAGAAUUAUGGAAUUUUCCCAACUGCG